AGUGAACGCUGGCGGCGUGCCUAAUACAUGCAAGUCGAACGGAGUGGCGCGCGGGUGUGUAAUGUAUCGCUAAUCUGCCCUACACUAGAGGGCAACAGAUGGGAACGACUGCUUAUACUCUCUAGUGGAGGAUGAGGCGAUAUUGUAUCAGCUAGUUGGUGAGGUAAUGGGUCACAGAGGCGAUGACGCGUAACUGGUCUGAGAGGAUGAUCAGUCACACUGGAACGUAGACACGGUCCGGACUCCUACGGGAGGCAGCAGUAGGGAGAAUUGCUCAAUGGGGGAAACCCUGAAGCAGCAACGGCUCGUAGAGGAUGAUAAUUUUCGGAGCAUAAACUCCUGUUGUUAGGGAAGCGGUACCUGACGAAUAAGCACCGGCUAACUCCGUGCCAGCAGCCGCGGUAAUUC
rnacentral:rRNA from 1 species